UGGGGAAUAUUGCACAAUGGGGGAAACCCUGAUGCAGCCAUGCCGCGUGUGUGAAGAAGGCCUUCGGGUUGUAAAGCACUUUCAGUUGUGAGGAAAAGUUAGUAGUUAAUACCUGCUAGCCGUGACGUUAACAACAGAAGAAGCACCGGCUAACUCCGUGCCAGCAGCCGCGGUAAUACGGAGGGUGCGAGCGUUAAUCGGAAUUACUGGGCGUAAAGCGCACGCAGGCGGUUUGUUAAGCUAGAUGUGAAAGCCCCGGGCUCAACCUGGGAUGGUCAUUUAGAACUGGCAGACUAGAGUCUUGGAGAGGGGAGUGGAAUUCCAGGUGUAGCGGUGAAAUGCGUAGAUAUCUGGAGGAACAUCAGUGGCGAAGGCGACUCCCUGGCCAAAGACUGACGCUCAUGUGCGAAAGUGUGGGUAGCGAACAGGAUUAGAUACCCCCGUAGUC
rnacentral:rRNA from 1 species